CGGACGGGUGAGUAAUGUCUGGGAAACUGCCCGAUGGAGGGGGAUAACUACUGGAAACGGUAGCUAAUACCGCAUAAUGUCUACGGACCAAAGAGGGGGACCUUAGGGCCUCUUGCCAUCGGAUGUGCCCAGAUGGGAUUAGCUAGUAGGUGGGGUAAUGGCUCACCUAGGCGACGAUCCCUAGCUGGUCUGAGAGGAUGACCAGCCACACUGGAACUGAGACACGGUCCAG
rnacentral:rRNA from 1 species